AUGCAGCAGCUGCUGCUUUCCAAUCCUAAACGAGCCGUACUUCUUCAAGCGAGGCAAGAAAAGGUCUCAAGACUUGGGGACAUUGUCUCCCAGACAAAUGCUGGGGUGCGAACUGUCCCGACAACGACACUUCUGCCUGCUGACUGCAUGAAGGACUGCCUGGCUCAACCUCUAUCUCAAUGUACUUCAAAUUCCAUUGCCCAAAUGCCGUAUGUACGUACCCUGAGUACAAGAGACGAUGGAUGCAAAAGUCAGAAAAUUAGGAACCUGAAGGGAAAAUGGAAGGCGGCUUUGAUCGACAUUCAGCCCAGAGUACAAGGAUGA
rnacentral:rRNA from 1 species